rnacentral:rRNA from 1 species
GAGUUUGAUCGUGGCUCAGAUUGAACGCUGGCGGCAUGCCUUACACAUGCAAGUCGAACGGCAGCACGGGAGCUUGCUCCUGGUGGCGAGUGGCGAACGGGUGAGUAAUGCAUCGGAACGUAUCCUGGAGUGGGGGAUAACGUAGCGAAAGUUACGCUAAUACCGCAUAUUCUGUGAGCAGGAAAGCGGGGGACCUUCGGGCCUCGCGCUCUUGGAGCGGCCGAUGUCGGAUUAGCUAGUUGGUGAGGUAAAGGCUCACCAAGGCGACGAUCCGUAGCAGGUCUGAGAGGAUGAUCUGCCACACUGGAACUGAGACACGGUCCAGACUCCUACGGGAGGCAGCAGUGAGGAAUUUUGGACAAUGGGGGCAACCCUGAUCCAGCCAUGCCGCGUGAGUGAAGAAGGCC